AGCUUUAUGCAGUGGCCGUAUCAUAGCCAAUGAGGUUUAUCUGAGUUGCGAUUAUUGCUAAUUGAAAACUUUUCCCAAUAACCUGCGGUGAACAACUUGAAAUUUAGUUAGCACUGGCAAUUUUUGACAGUCUCUAUGGAGA
ensembl:snRNA U4 U4 spliceosomal RNA